rnacentral:miRNA from 7 species
GUCUGUGAGGAGAGAGGGGCGGGAGGGGUCGGGCGCGCCAU